UCCUGGAAUGGGAGCGAGCGUCGGAA
rnacentral:sRNA from 1 species